rnacentral:piRNA from 1 species
UAUUCAUUUGAAGGAAACAAAAAUAUUUCGUG